rnacentral:rRNA from 1 species
AUACGGAGGGUCCGAGCGUUAUCCGGAUUUAUUGGGUUUAAAGGUGGGGCGUAGGCGGUUUUAUAAGUCAGCGGUGAAAUUUUCCGGCUCAACCGGGAUACUGCCGUUGAUACUGUAAGGCUAGGAUAUGGUUGCUGUGGGUGGAAUGUGUGGUGUAGCGGUGAAAUGCUUAGAGAUCACACAGAAUAUCGAUUGCGAAGGCAGCUCACAAAGCCAUUAUUGACGCUGAGGCACGAAAGUGUGGGGAUC